UAGGGAAUCUUCCGCAAUGGACGAAAGUCUGACGGAGCAACGCCGCGUGAGCGAUGAAGGCCUUCGGGUCGUAAAGCUCUGUUGUUAGGGAAGAACAAGUGCCGAGUAACUAUCGGCACCUUGACGGUACCUAACCAGAAAGCCACGGCUAACUACGUGCCAGCAGCCGCGGUAAUACGUAGGUGGCAAGCGUUGUCCGGAAUUAUUGGGCGUAAAGCGCGCGCAGGCGGUUCUUUAAGUCUGAUGUGAAAGCCCCCGGCUCAACCGGGGAGGGUCAUUGGAAACUGGGGAACUUGAGUGCAGAAGAGGAGAGCGGAAUUCCACGUGUAGCGGUGAAAUGCGUAGAGAUGUGGAGGAACACCAGUGGCGAAGGCGGCUCUCUGGUCUGUAACUGACGCUGAGGCGCGAAAGCGUGGGGAGCAAACA
rnacentral:rRNA from 1 species